rnacentral:lncRNA from 1 species
AGAUAAAUAUUCCCCACGCCAGCAGGUGAGGAGGCUGGGGCCAGAUGACAGCUAGUGAGGGAGCAGAGACAAGACGGGCGAGCCUGUGACAGAGUGAGACCCUGUCUCAAAAAACAAAAACAAGACAUGUGAGCUUGGACUCCAGUGUGGAAUCCCGUGUCCACUCAGCGCACCUUUCUGCUGCUGAAAAUACAAGUGGAGAGGGGAAACCCACAGGUGGAGCUGACCAUGAGGACUGUCACAGGUGAGGGUGAGAGGAAGCUGGAGAUGGAAGGUGCAGCCGGGGGAACCCACCAGGCAGGUCCCAGGGAACUCUUUGAAUAAGAGGACACCAGAUCACGCCUGCAGUUCCAGCCCAGGGUGAGGUUGAAACACUUAUGCUUCCUAUUUAAAGCCACAUCUCAUUCAUCAUUUCAGCACCAAUCAACAAUUAAACCUGAUUCAAUGGAGCCCUGACAACUAAUUUAAACCGAGCCUCACAAUCGGCCUGACACUGGCUAUUUAAAACUCUGUCCUGGCCUCUGGGGCCUUUCGGAACCAGGACUGUUUGUACUGCCAAGAGCAAAGCCCCACCCGCUGUGGCCUGGAUCCCCAUGUAGGUAGUGUGCAGAGUCUGUUCCAGCCAUCACUGUCUCUGCCCGGCUCCCUGUAGGGCUGUGGGAGGGUUCUGGGAGAGGUUGGGAAUGCCAGGAGGAGGAAUUGGUGAAGCAAAGAAAAGGCAAAAGCCCACUGAGAGGUCUAAUGAGCCCCAGGUGCACACACUUAUGUUGUGUGUGGCUUUCUUCAGGCCCUGGGCAAAUGUGGUGGCCUGGGGUGUAUUGGGAGCAUCAGAACCCAGGUCGAGUCCUGACUCUGCAAUCCAUAAACCAGUUCCGUGACCUUGCCCAGGUCCUUCCUUAGUUUCCUCACCAGUGUGGUGAGAAUAACAAAGAUCUCUUCCCACACCAUCUCCCUGGGAGUUAAGAGAUUCCCCCAUAUCUGGUGAUCCCAGGUAAAGCACAUGGAAAACCACCAAGUCCUAAAGCAUAGAAGUUCUGAGCAGAGCAGGCCUAAGCUUGUAUGGGGCCUGGUGCUGUGGGGCAGCAUGGCAGAUUCCAGCCUGUGGUCAUUAUAGGGUUGUCUGGUGUCCCCAUGGCUCUCUAGGGGUGAUGGAAAACAGCCUCAUAUAACUAAGUGUGGACAGUAACCCCUCCAGGCUGAGAACUGGGUCCAGACUUGUGUAGUCAGAGACAUCUUCCUGGAGGCAGUGGACUUGAGCCGAGCUUUGGAGGCUGCAAGAAUUGAGUAAGUCAGCCGGGCGCGGUGGCUCAUGCCUAUAAUCCUAGCACUUUGGGAGGCCGAGGCGAGUGGAUCACCUGAGGUCAGCAGUUUGAGACUAGCCUGGCCAACAUGGUGAAACCCCAUCUUUACUAAAAAUACCAAAAAAAAAAAUUUAGCUGGGCAUGGUGGUGGGCACCUAUAAUCCCAGCUACUCAGGAGGCUGAGGCAAGUGAAUCGCUUGAACCCAGCAGGGGUGGAAGUUGCAGUGAGCCAAGAUCGUGCCACUUCACUCCAGCCUGGGUAAAAGAGCAAAACUCCGUCCAAAAAUAAAAAAGA